CCUAAUGUAGACUCUGUGAUUUUCUUUGGGACUUGCCGGCUAUGGGGUACCGGGUGAGACAGAUACCCCAACAAGCCGGCCGUCAUGCUACACUCUCAACUUAGUCUAAUUAUGGAAACAGAGUUCUUCUGAUUUCCUUAUCUUAAAGCAUGAAUAUUAUUAAUUAUACUGAUUGCUCAGAGAGACAGUGAUGGCAUGUCUGCAUGGUCACUAAUUUCAUUAUUCAUUCAUUCAUUUUGUUUCUCACACUGUUUUUUCAUAGGACUUUCUUCUUAACCCUGAAGGUCGGUUAUUUAUUUAUUUAUUCAUCUAUUUGUUUCUUUGUUUGUUUUGGAAGUUUCUUUAGUCAAUGACUUCUUGAAGACUGUGGUAGUUGGAAGAAAAUGACCCCCAUAGGCCCAUAGGGAAUGGCACUAUUAGGAGGUGUGGUCUUUGUUGGAGUAGCUGUGCCCUUGUUGGAGGAAGUAUGCUCAAACCAGACCCAGUGACUCUCUUUUUCUACUGUCUGCUCAUCUGAAUACAGAACUCUCAGCUCCUCUCCACCACUGUGUUGGCCUGCCCACCGCCAUGCUUCCUCCUAUGAUGACAAUGGACUAAACCUCUGAACUGCCUGAAUUCAUCAGGAGCCUCCUCCCAUCUCUCCAUGCUGUCUUGGAGUCAUAUAUAAUUAGUCUCCCAAUACAGAAUUCAGCUAGUCACAUAUUUACUUGCAUGUCCCAGAGCAAUCAAGCACUGAUCUAUUCCCGAGAGAAUAUUGGACACCGAAGACAUUCCCCUUGGAUCUUGUUUUCUUCUUGACAAAACUGGCCUUUGGACAAAGAACUGCCCCACAUCGACUACUAACAAAAUACACAGUGUCCAGACUGGACAAGCAAGAUACAAGCAAAAAGACUGCCAAUCCUUGUCAAGACAGGGGCAACAAGUUUCAAAUGUUUCGAGGCUGUUUGGAAGCUGUUUGGAGGCUCCAGCAAUGGAGCACACAUCAUAGAGCGACGGUGCCUGAGAAAGCGGGAGCCAGAGAGACUUGGCGCCCUUGAUGCACUCUCCAUUGUUAGGAAGGUUGUCCUGGAAGAAGUGUAUGAUAUAGAAAAGCUGUUUGACUUCAUGGCACUCAGAGAACCAAAGAGAAAGUGUCUAGGAACAAGAGUCACCAUUCAUAAACAUGUCUUCCAACUACGCCACACCUACUAAUGUCCUUUGGUAAUAGUUAAUCAACGUCAGCACCCGCAUGAAGCAGCCACCUCAACCGCAUUGCCAAGUGGGGACCAAGUCCUCAACAUAUUGGUCUUUUGGGGGUAUUUUCUGUCCAACUAUAACAAUGUCUUUAAUCUUUUGUGUAAAGUCAUUUUCCCACCUGGGAAAAUGCUAAUGUGUACUUUAGACAUGGCUGCAAAGAGUGAAAUUGGGCUCUCGAGGGGAAAUCCGAACUACUGUGCUCACUGCAGUACUCCAUGCCACAGCCAAGACGGGGAAGCAAACUAACUGAACACACGGAACACAGAGAUGGUGGUUUAUGCACACAGUGGAAUAUAAGACAGCAUCACAAAAGAAAGUUGGCCAUACUGUAGGGCAGGUCCCACUCUCAAGAGCAGUUGGAAACAUAAACUAGACUUGAUGUGAAAAAAAACAAAAAAAGAGGAGGAGGAGGAGGAAGUGGGGGGAUAGGGAAAGGAGGGGGGAGGAAGCAGAGUGGGAGGAGGCAAUGCCUUGAAGUUUGGAGGGUAAGAAGGUGAGAGUGACGAGGGAGGUGUGGGAAGAGUUAAGGGAGAGGGCAAAUAGAACCAAAAUAUGAAAAUCUCAAAGAAUUUCUAUUUUUUAAGGUAUCACCACAAAAAUUAUAAGAAUGUGUGGUGAUAACUUAUUAUAGAUGAAUAUAAUUAAAAUGUUAUAAUCUUGUUUUAAUAUUUUAAAAAGGUACAGAAAAGUAUAACACAUUAUAUAAACAUUAUACUCAGCCAAAUAAAACCAUCAAUUAAUUAAAAACAAGCUGCUCAGUGCCUUUCGGGCCAUUUGAAACCUUUAUAUUUUCUUUUUCGUGUUUACACUCCUCUGCUGCCCCUGCCCUAAGAUUCUUGUUUUCUCUUUCUCCCUCAACUCAUUAUGAAUGCUGAAGAAUCAAAAACAAAUUAAUCUGACUUUUUUCAAGACGUA